UAGGGAAUCUUCAGGCAAUGGACGAAAGUCUGACCGAGCAACGCCGCGUGAGUGUAAGAAGGUUUUACGGAUCGUAAAACUCUGUUGGUAGAGAAGAACGUUGGAUGAGAGUGGAAAGCUCAUCAAGUGACGGUAACUACCCAGAAAGGGACGGCUAACUACGUGCCAGCAGCCGCGGUAAUACGUAGGUCCCGAGCGUUGUCCGGAUUUAUUGGGCGUAAAGCGAGCGCAGGUGGUUUAUUAAGUCUGGUGUAAAAGGCAGUGGCUCAACCAUUGUAUGCAUUGGAAACUGGUAGACUUGAGUGCAGGAGAGGAGAGUGGAAUUCCAUGUGUAGCGGUGAAAUGCGUAGAUAUAUGGAGGAACACCGGUGGCGAAAGCGGCUCUCUGGCCUGUAACUGACACUGAGGCUCGAAAGCGUGGGGAGCAAACA
rnacentral:rRNA from 1 species